UACGGAGGGGGCAAGCGUUAUUCGGAAUCAUUGGGCGUAAAGGGCGCGUAGGCGGCUUCAUAAGUCUUGGGUGAAAGCCCUCGGCUCAACCGAGGAAUUGCCUUGGAUACUGUGAAGCUCGAGGCUGGAAGAGGGCAGUGGACUUCCCGGUGUAGCGGUGAAAUGCGUAGAUAUCGGGAGGAACACCAGUGGCGAAGGCGGCUGCCUGGGCCAGUUCUGACGCUGAGGCGCGAAAGCGUGGGGAGCAAACAGG
rnacentral:rRNA from 1 species